GUAAAUGGCUCUACCCUGCUCCUUCUAGCUCUGUGACUUCUCAGAGUAUGAACUCCUUCCUUUAGGGACAAGUUGAGGAGCAGGAGAGGAAUGGGGACAACAAGAACACCACAGAGCUGCUGCUCUCACUGAGAUUCAGAUGCUGGUCCAAGCAGAGAGGUAUCGGGAGGCAUCUCUCAAUUACGCCGGGCUGGAAAAGCUGCUGGGCAUUGAGAUGGACGAUUUGGCCUCCCAGCUUAUUCCCUUCCGGAUGUGGGGACUUUCUUUAAACAGACAGAAGGAAUUAGCUGUGGGGGUCUAUGUUUGAGAGCACGGGGGUCUUCUGCCACGCAAGAUAAAUCAAUGCCCAGGCAGCUCCGAGCUUUCCUAUCAAAGCCCUGCGCCAGCGAGGAGGAAGGAGGAACAUGGCAAAUCAAC
rnacentral:lncRNA from 1 species